ensembl:lncRNA
GACAGGGUACACCCUGGAUUGGUCGCCAGCCAAUCGCAGGGCCACACAGAGACACACAACCAUUCACACUCACAUUCACACAUCUACGGGCAAUUUAAAGUCCCCAAUUAACCUGAUCCCCAGAGCAUGUCUUUGGACUGUGGGAGGAAGCCGGAGAACCCGGAGAGAACCCACGCAGACACGGGGAGAACAUGCAGACUCCACACAGAAAGGCCACUGGGUGGAAUCGAACCCAGGACCUUCUUGCUGUGAGGCAACGGUGCUAACCACCACGCCACCGUGCCGCCCAUACAAAUUCAUAUAUUUAUUUAAAUGUUCUUCAUCCCAACUCAAUUUUUAUUUGACAACACCAGUUUUCCGCACUGCCAAUAGUUUGAAUAUAGUGAGAAAAGAAAGCCCAACUAAAGAGUGUGUGACUCCAUGCAAACGGACUUGCAUGAGCACCUGAGAACCUCAGCAGGCAUUCACCUUCACAAGCUGAAUUCUGAUACUGCAGCGGCAAAACGGAGGAUCAUGUUGAUAUAAGAUUAUUUCAUGGGCGAGGUGUUUGAAUUUGUAUGUUAGCCAUAGUGUGAGCAGGAGUUAAAGGUUCGGCGACAGGCAUUCGUUAUGCGUAAACUAGCUCUGCUUCAGCUGCUGCUAGACAUCAACACACUGCACGGCAGGUCACAGUCAGGCGGCUUUUUAUAGGACCAGUCAUUUAAAGACAGGGAGAGUGAGAAGCCAGGUUCACAUGGCCUCUGAUCCGCAAUUACAUAAACACAACAUGCAACAUAGCAGCAGAACAUUUGGUGUUCCCCUUCUCAUCUGAAAAAGCCACAUGCUGGAGAGUUCAGUUUUGUUUAUGAAGAAAACUGAUCGCUUGUAGUCGGAUGGUCAACAGGCUGGAGAGAGAAAUGCACAUUGGAGUGGAAGGUAGUUUGAAUCCUACAAACUGGAUGUGUGUCAUUCACCAGGUAACAACUGAUGCUGCGGUGGCUUUGUGUGUGGAAAGGGACAAAAGUGCAAUCAGCUGAAUCAGCUAAAUCAACUCUUACACUGAUGACAGGAGCUACUAACCAAGGACUGAACUCUGAGUGGACGCUGCAGGGCCUUGGCUUUUGGUCUUGAUGUGCUACUUUAGUCAUUGGCUGGAGGCUAUGAAUCAAGGCCCUUUUGUAAUGUGGCUAAUUUUCCUGCAGUUUGACCUUUUCUAACUUGUAUAUGAUGUUUUUAAAUGUUUUUUAUAACACCACACUGUAAAUAAUUGAAAAAUAAUCCAUUUUUAGGCCUUUGCUCUGCUUCCAAUCACCUCCUAAACUAAUCUUUGAUUUGACAGAUUAUGUUGUUUUUUGUGAUUGUAAUUUUACAACACAACUUUAAUGAUGACACAAUUUAGCCUUACAUCUAAAUUAGCUUGAAUUGUAUCAGUACAUCUUCAGUGUUUGAUUGUAUACAGCUUUAAAAUGCAGAAAGGUCAGCAUUUAUGUUUUAUUAUGCACCCGGAAAUAUAAUAAGUAAGUCAACCUUGCUGAAUUCAUUAACAUAAUAAUAUGAAGGCAUGACGUGUGUGUUAAAACUAUACCAUGUACUAUAGACAUUCUGGAGAUUGCUCAUCAUGCAUUUGUCCUUCAUACAGAGUGGAAUGUUCAAUUCAGUUUUUGCUCUGUUUGACAUGUAUUUCUGCGGGCAUGCCUGUCACUGUUAGUAAUUUAGUAUUUUAGCACCAACUUACUGUUUGUAACUUAAAUUGUAUUUAUAAUUGUUCAGAAUCUGGAUCUGCUGGCCAGUCCAUCCUUUCCUUUUGAAUUAACUUUACUGUAUUCAUGCUAGGACACCAGGAAACAUCCACUUGUGAGGUUGUAGUUUUUUCAUACAAAUCAUUGCGUUGCCUUGUUUUGCGGUCUUUGCAGCACUUUGCAAGUCAGACCUUUUUAUGUGCAUUGUUUGUACAUUAAAUGUUUCUCUGUUGUGCAAGAGAGCAAACGUUGAAGUGUAAAUACAAUUUUUGCAGUUCUCUAGUAAGGGCAGAUAUUGUGAUGCAUCUCUGAUUCAAAGCUUUGCACAAAGACCCUCAAACAGAGUGGGGCUUUGAAACAAUGUACUUUAUGAACUAACAGUAUGUGGUGUGAUGGCAAAAGAAAGUUUAGAAAAAGUUUGGAAGUUUAAGACUUUUGAAAUGAGGAAACUUUUAAUUUGGAAUGAAAUGAUGAAGACACAUCAGGGAAAGGUGAUCUGAGAUGAAGAAAUGAAACCUGUUUUAAGUUUAUUUAAUUUAAGUUUUCCAAAGGAAAGUAGCGAUGUCUGGAGGGGUGUUUCAACAGUUACUAAUUUUAAAUGAGUGAAUAUGUAAUAAAUGAAAACCUUUUGCUGAC